AGUGCAACCUUAAGUGGGUGGUAAACUCCAUCUAAGGCUAAAUAUAACCAUGAGACCGAUAGUAAACAAGUACCGUGAGGGAAAGUUGAAAAGAACUUUGAAGAGAGAGUUCAAAAGUACGUGAAACCGUUUAGGGGUAAACGGAAAAGAACUGAAAAUCCGAAAAGGGAGAUUCACGUCUUCUCAUUAGUUGGCAUUUAUAUAAUUUAGGAUAACUAAUGGGCUAUUUAAUUUAUUAAAUAUGUACUAUUAAUUACCUACUUAUAUAAUGACUAGCUGUGGUGGACCGCACUUCUCUCUUAGUAGGACGUCGUGACCCACUAGAAUAUAAACUUCAAAAUUGAACUUUUUUAUGACUUGUUAUAUUUAUUUUUUUAUUAAAAAAAAUAGUAUAACAAAUGGUUCAUUUUUUGAAUAAUUAUCUGGUGGUAGAAAACGACAGUGAGAGUCACUUUUUUUAAUUAAAAAGUGUUUAAACUUUUAUUAUUUUUAAUUGUGUUAUUAGUAAGUGAAACUAUGUUUUCACGUAUUGAUAACCUAUUAAUUAUUAAUAAUGUGUUUAAACAGACUUAUAACACUAGUCAACGGCGCUACAGUUUCAGUAACUUUUCCGACCCGUCGAAACACCCAAGGAGUCUAACAUGUGCGCAAGUCAUUGGGUCAAUAAACCUAAAGGCGAAACAAAAGUAAAGUAAGCAAUGCUUUAUUAAGGAGGAUGGUUAUUUAAUAAUAUUAAAUAGCCCGCACUCCUGGGGCGUCUGUUACUCAUUGCGAGUUAAGGCGCACCUAGAGCGUACACGUUGGGACCCGAAAGAUGGUGAACUAUGCUUGGCCAGGAUGAAGUCAGGGGAAACUCUGAUGGAGGUCCGUAGCGAUUCUGACGUGCAAAUCGAUCGUCAGAGCUAAGUAUAGGGGCGUAAGACCAAUCGAACUAUCUAGUAGCUGGUUCCCUCCGAAGUUUCCCUCAGGAUAGCUGGUGCCAAUGAUGAUAUUGAGUCUCAUCUGGUAAAGCGAAUGAUUAGAGGCAUUGGGGCCGAAACGACCUCAACCUAUUCUCAAACUUUAAAUGGAUGAGAGCCCUGGCUUGCUUAAAAAUGAAGCCAGAGAUUUGGAUCUAGGUGCCAAGUGGGCCAAUUUUGGUAAUGUGGGAUGAACCAAACGCAAAGUUAAGGUGCCUAAAUCGACGCUCAUUAGACACCAUGAAAGGCGUUGGUUGCUUAAGACAGCAGGACGGUGGCCAUGGAAGUCGGAAUCCGCUAAGGAGUGUGUAACAACUCACCUGCCGAAGCAACUAGCCCUGAAAAUGGAUGGCGCUGUAGCGUCGUGCCUAUACUUUGCCGUCAACGACAAAUAAAGUAAAACAAACUAUUUGUUAUACUAUUAAGUCUUGACGAGUAGGAGGGUCGCAGCGAUGAGCGCAGAAGGGUCUGGGCGUAAGCCUGCCUGGAGCCGUCGCUGGUGCAGAUCUUGGUGGUAGUAGCAAAUACUCCAGCGAGGCCCUGGAGGGCUGUAGUGGAGAAGGGUUUCUUGUGAACAGCUGUUGCACAAGAGUCAGUCGAUCCUAAGCUCUAGGAGAAAUCCAAUGUUAAUUGGAUACCAAACAUUUGUUGGUAUCUUAUGAGCAAAAGGGAAUCCGGUUCCUAUUCCGGAACCCGGUAGCGGAACCGUUUCAAAUCGUGUCCUCAUAUGGACUCGUCGGGGUGACCCAAAAAGACCCGGAGAAGCCGUUAGAAUGUUUGGAGAGAGUUGUCUCUUCUCUAUAAGCGUUCGAGUUCCCUGGAAUCCUCUAGCAGGGAGAUAGGGUUUGGAACGCGAAGAGCAUCGCAGUUACGGCGGUGUCCAAAACAUUCUUUCGGACCAUGAAAAUUCGGGAGAGGGCAACGAGGAACACCGCACCGGAUCGUACCCCAUAUCCGCAGCAGGUCUCCAAGGUGAAUAGCCUCUAGUCGAUAGAAUAAUG
rnacentral:rRNA from 1 species